CCGUAAGGCACUUGAACGCCCCUUCGACGACGAGUUGCAUGUGUGUGGUAUGUGUCAGAAUCUGGUGAAGCUUUCUGCAUGUGAUGUGCCUUGUGUGGAUCCGUGGCCAUUGCAUUGUGUCUGGUGCUUAGAUACCCAGACACUUAGAACGCUUGCGCGGAAAGCAAACUCGAUCGUUGUACACUUUGAUGGGUGACCAUCACUGUGUCUCCGUGCCGUGCUAGAUCCCCCCUAGCCGUAAGGCACUUUGAACGCCCCUUCGACGACGAGUUACAAGAGUGUGGUAUGUGUCAGAAUCUGGUGAAGCUUUCUGCAUGUGAUGUGCCUUGUGUGGAUCCGUGGCCAUUGCAUUGUGUCUGGUGUGUAGGUACCCAGACACUUAGAACGCUUGCGCGGAAAGCAAACUCGAUCGUUGUACACUUUGAUGGGCAACCAUCACUGUGUCUCCGUGCCGUGCUAGAUCUCCCCUAGCCGUAAGGCACUUUGAACGCCCCUUCGACGACGAGUUACAAGAGUGUGGUAUGUGUCAUAAUCUGGUGAAGCUUUCUGCAUGUGAUGUGCCUUGUGUGGAUCCGUGGCCAUUGCAUUGUGUCUGGUGUGUAGGUACCCAGACACUUAAGCAAACUCGAUCGUUGUACACUGUGAUGGGCGAGCAUCACUGUGUCUCCGUGCCGUGUAAGAGCUCCCCUGGCCAUCAGGCACUUGAAAGGUCCUUCGACGACGAGUUACAAUAGUGGUGUGUUAGAUACGUCAGGUGAUGGUAUCUACUGUUGUGCAAUACGUAUCCGGCCACGGCACGGAACGAACGGGAACUGUGGUGCAGACAUACAAAGAGUUAAGCCUACUAGUCAUUAACUCUAAGGACGGGGCCAUGGGGCGGUACGCAAAGGAUACGGAUGAGCGAGUAUGCAGGCCCAAUACUCAAUAGCUCGAUCCGAUCCAAGCACAUGAGUUGACUGCGGCGCCAGGUUAACCAAUGUGCUAGAUUCUAUAUGGCCGGUAGAAUCUUGUGUCUUAAGCGAUUUGAUACCAAGACACCAGAACGAAAGUUAGUUGAAGAGUUAUUAAACUCUUAUGAAGUAUGGUUGUGCAACUACAACUUAUGACUUUAACCUAUAAAGUGGAUAUGGACUAUCAAUUAUAACAUGGGGCACACACCAUGUUCUCGAUCCAAUCCACGCACACGAGUUGCCUGAUUAGCGACAGGUAUACCGAUGUGCAAUACGUAUCCGGCCAUAGGCACGGAACGAACAGGAACUGUGGUGCAGUCAUUCAAGGGCCAUGGGGCGGUACGCAAAGGAUACGGAUGAGCGAGUAUGCAGGCCCAAUACUCAAUAGCUCGAUCCGAUCCAAGCACAUGAGUUGACUGCGGCGUCAGGUUAACCAAUGUGCUAGAUUCUAUUUGGCCAGU